rnacentral:lncRNA from 1 species
UACAGACAGGUUCUUCUGCAACAGUAGCUACAUCUUCUGACUCUUGUUUCUCAGAUGGAGCAGCUUGGUUGUUCUUACCGUGCAUUGCCUACAAGCCGUCAAAAUCAAUUAGCCCAAUGCAAACGAGCAGUAAUAUAUGCAUAAAUGUGGGAGAACCCCAGAGUUCUUUCACAUAAAAAGUAAAGGAGCAAAUUUAAUCGAUCUAUUCAACCAGAGCAAUUCAUCCGAAAGGGACCGUUACAAUUAUGUUGUACAUACUACUACACAGCAAAUUAUGUUGUACAUAAUUUGCACGGAAAACUACAUCUAAUUCAUGAAACAAAAAGGGGCCGUUACAAUUAUGUUGUACAUACUACUACACAACAGCGAACAAAUUCGACAGAGCAAUUCAUCCGACCCCAACACAACCCUAGCACCCCC